UAAAAAACCACCAUAAUAAGAAUGUUGUUAUGCUGUGCUUAUAUAAUCAUUUCUUUUUCAUCCCUAAUAGCUGGUACAAAUUGAUGAAGUGUUACAUAAUUAACUGAUCUUAACAUCACUGAAAUAUGGGGUUACCUAUCUCAAAAGCUAUUGAGAGAGUAAUAUAUCAUGAAGACAAAGCCAAUGGAAACACCCAUUGAGUAUUAGCUAGAUGUGAGCUAGCACAUGGGAAAAUGGGAAUUGUCUUUUCUGUCUGAUAACAUGGAGGCUAAUCAUAAAAACAGGCCUACGGGGAAGGCCAUUUUUCUUAACCUACCUGACAUUUGUGUGCAUCUGAUAUUUAGAGGGCACUAUGUCUAUAACUGAAACAGUCAUGGGAAGAAGGUGCAAGUGAAGCAGAGCACAGCUCCAACAACCAACAAAUCCAGUCCCCCUGAGAUUUUUCAGGUGUGGAUGCCCCUACAGAAUUACUCCCAAUUGAAGCCAAUGGGCCAGGCCUUUGUACUCCUACAUCAAACAGCUACUGGAGGUGUGAUUCCCUGGUGACAAGGGCAAGGCCGUUUUCUGCAGCUGAAAGCAAUUCUCAGGCAGGGACACAGUUGCAAGUUGCCAACAAUAAACAUUCCCAAAGCUGGGAGAAUGAAUAUCUUGGCCUUGAAAUGUGUCAGCAACAUAACACACCAAAGCAUCUCCUGUGCACAUAGCAGAGAGGAAUAUAAUGAGAUGCAACGUGCUUCAUAUUGGUGCGUUUUCAUGUGCUGUUGCAGCUAACGGAGGAACUGGCUCUGCAAGUGGGGUUGCCUCCACCAUUUCAGACCCAUGUGUUUUUUUUCCAAAUGUCCUCAAAACUCCCUGUCUUGAGGCAGGCUUCCCUCGUAAAUCUGUAGUAAGAAAAAGGAAAGCAGCAAGCAGCUAAGAGUUUAAAACAUUGUGUCUACGAGAACAGCUAGAAGGUAAAUCAUUUCUAAGAGGAUGUGCUAUUAGUUUAUCCCAUGCUUUAAAAAAUGCCUUUGGUGGGAGAGAAGCCAGAAGCUCAUGCGUGGAGAGUGCUCUGUUUGCCUCUUCCCAGUCAUCUCAGGGAUGAACGCAAUACCCACACCUGAUGCUGUUAUCUAUCUUCUGCUGCUACCUGUUCUUUUCCUUGGGAGCCUCAUUGAAGGCAACACUCUGCCCCAUCCGGGACUCUACAUAAGGGGCUCUUGCUGGCUUCUUCAAUUGGCUAUUUCUGUUGGCUGCUGUGAAUUCUCACUUUGAUGAUAUUUUGUUGUUUAUUUGAACAUUUUCUCUAUUUGGUACUCACCAUUUGUGUUUUCAAUUUUGCUUGCUAUGCACUUAAUGAACUCAUUCAAAACCAAAAGGACAGCUAUUAGAUCAUUCUCCGUAUCAUACAGGAACAUAAACUACUAACUGAGGUGUGAGCAAAGCAUAUAAAGUACAAAACCCAAAGAAAGAUAUGUUAGACUACAAAACAUAAAUUUUACAGAUGAAUAAAUCAUAAGAAACACAUCAAAUUUUCUAUAGUUAAUAGCAACACACAAAAAAACAACAUAAAAAUUUGCUAAGGGUACAGAGGAUAUCUUGGUUUCAUUUGCUACUAACACUUCACUAGAUGUUAUCUGGACUGAGGCUGGGUGUGGGGGUCUAUGGUAGAUUACUUACCCAGCAUGCACACAGUCUUGGUUCACCCAUAGAACUGCAAAAAGGAAAGGGGAAAGAAUAAAGAAAAUGGGAAGGAAGGAAGGAAGGAAGGAAGGAAGGAAGGAAGGAAGGAAGGAAGGAAGGAAGGAAGGAAGGAGGGAAGGAAGGAAGGAAAGAAAGAAGGAAAGAAGGAAGGAAGGAAAAGAGAGAGAGGGAGGAAAAAGAGGGAUUGAUUCUAUCAAUGAUGUCAUUCUUAUUUUUCUGCUCAGUGAUGCUUAGUUAAUUAGGCUUCUCUGCUCCCAACUAGAGUGAGUGCCAGUGUGCAGGUCAGAGUUGGUGAAAGAGCAAAGCAUGUGUGUGUGCAAGGGAGCAUAGCAGGAGCCCAUGAAGUAACCACCCUCAGAGGAUUUCAGUGGUCACAGACAAGUGGGAAGGCGGGGCUUAUCCAGCAGCUCCCAGUUUCUAGCAGUUUCCAGUCUCUGCCUACUGCUCUAUUUCUCAUCUGCCUUCUUUCUCUUCCCUGUUGGAAGCCUGGCCUGGCCACAGCAGCCUGAUGCCCUUCCUGCAUGCUUGGUUCUGUGCCAUAGAGGCAGAAGGUUGCUCAUAGGCAACACUUUCUACCAACCCUCCAGAAGUUGAUGGAGGAGGCCCCACCCUCUUCCAGAUACACUACAUGAGUGAGCUUCUCCAAGAUCUUCCCCACCUGCCCUCCCAUCUGGAUCGACACCCUUUCUGUCUCCAUUAGAAAACACAUAGGCAGCAGGUGAUGAUGGCGCACACCUUUAAUCCCAGCACUCAGGAGGCAGAGCCAGGCGGAUCUCUGUGAGUAGUAGCCCAGCCUGGUCUACUGAGCAAGUUCCAGAAAAGGUUCCAAAGCAUCACAGAGAAACCCUGUCUUGAAAACCAACCAACCAAACAACAACACAAAAGGAAAGAAAAGAAAAAAGAAAACAAAUAGCCACCGAAAGAACAACAAUAAAAUAUAAAAUAAGAAAAGAGUUAUAAUUUCAGAUAGUUAUUUUGAGGGAAAAUAUUUGCUGUGGAGUGUGAAAUUUUAAAAAUAAAAUUACAUACGAUCUGUUAAUCAAUUUAAAUGCAUUCCCUGUGAACUUUGUCUUUCAC
rnacentral:lncRNA from 1 species